rnacentral:rRNA from 1 species
UAGGGAAUCUUCCGCAAUGGACGCAAGUCUGACGGAGCAACGCCGCGUGAGUGAAGAAGGAUUUCGGUUCGUAAAACUCUGUUGUUAGAGAAGAACAGCGCAUAGAGUAACUGUUAUGCGUGUGACGGUAUCUAACCAGAAAGCCACGGCUAACUACGUGCCAGCAGCCGCGGUAAUACGUAGGUGGCAAGCGUUGUCCGGAUUUAUUGGGCGUAAAGCGAGCGCAGGCGGUCAAUUAAGUCUGAUGUGAAAGCCCCCGGCUCAACCGGGGAGGGGCAUUGGAAACUGGUUGACUGGAGUGCAGAAGAGGAGAGUGGAAUUCCAUGUGUAGCGGUGAAAUGCGUAGAUAUAUGGAGGAACACCAGUGGCGAAGGCGACUCUCUGGUCUGUAACUGACGCUGAGGCUCGAAAGCGUGGGUAGCAAACAGG